rnacentral:rRNA from 1 species
GGUUAAGUUAGAAAGGGCGCACGGUGGAUGCCUUGGCACUAGGAGCCGAUGAAGGACGGGACGAACACCGAUAUGCUUCGGGGAGCUGUAAGCAAGCUUUGAUCCGGAGAUUUCCGAAUGGGGAAACCCACCACUCGUAAUGGAGUGGUAUCCAUAUCUGAAUUCAUAGGAUAUGAGAAGGCAGACCCGGGGAACUGAAACAUCUAAGUACCCGGAGGAAGAGAAAGCAAAUGCGAUUCCCUGAGUAGCGGCGAGCGAAACGGGAUUAGCCCAAACCAAGAGGCUUGCCUCUUGGGGUUGUAGGACACUCUGUACGGAGUUACAAAAGAACGAGGUAGAUGAAGAGGUCUGGAAAGGCCCGCCAUAGGAGGUAACAGCCCUGUAGUCAAAACUUCGUUCUCUCCUGAGUGGAUCCUGAGUACGGCGGAACACGUGAAAUUCCGUCGGAAUCCGGGAGGACCAUCUCCCAAGGCUAAAUACUCCCUAGUGACCGAUAGUGAACCAGUACCGUGAGGGAAAGGUGAAAAGCACCCCGGAAGGGGAGUGAAAGAGAUCCUGAAACCGUGUGCCUACAAGUAGUCAGAGCCCGUUAACGGGUGAUGGCGUGCCUUUUGUAGAAUGAACCGGCGAGUUACGAUCCCGUGCAAGGUUAAGCAGAAGAUGCGGAGCCGCAGCGAAAGCGAGUCUGAAUAGGGCGCAUGAGUACGUGGUCGUAGACCCGAAACCAGGUGAUCUACCCAUGUCCAGGGUGAAGUUCAGGUAACACUGAAUGGAGGCCCGAACCCACGCACGUUGAAAAGUGCGGGGAUGAGGUGUGGGUAGGGGUGAAAUGCCAAUCGAACCUGGAGAUAGCUGGUUCUCUCCGAAAUAGCUUUAGGGCUAGCCUCAAGGUAAGAGUCUUGGAGGUAGAGCACUGAUUGGACUAGGGGCCCCUACCGGGUUACCGAAUUCAGUCAAACUCCGAAUGCCAAUGACUUAUCCUUGGGAGUCAGACUGCGAGUGAUAAGAUCCGUAGUCGAAAGGGAAACAGCCCAGACCGCCAGCUAAGGUCCCAAAGUAUACGUUAAGUGGAAAAGGAUGUGGAGUUGCUUAGACAACCAGGAUGUUGGCUUAGAAGCAGCCACCAUUUAAAGAGUGCGUAAUAGCUCACUGGUCGAGUGACUCUGCGCCGAAAAUGUACCGGGGCUAAACGUAUCACCGAAGCUGCGGACUGUUCUUCGAACAGUGGUAGGAGAGCGUUCUAAGGGCUGUGAAGCCAGACCGGAAGGACUGGUGGAGCGCUUAGAAGUGAGAAUGCCGGUAUGAGUAGCGAAAGAGGGGUGAGAAUCCCCUCCACCGAAUGCCUAAGGUUUCCUGAGGAAGGCUCGUCCGCUCAGGGUUAGUCGGGACCUAAGCCGAGGCCGAAAGGCGUAGGCGAUGGACAACAGGUUGAUAUUCCUGUACCACCUCCUCACCAUUUGAGNNNNNNNNNNNNNNNNNNNNNNNNNNNNNNNNNNNNNAAGGCUGAGCUGUGAUGGCGAGCGAAAUAUAGUAGCGAAGUUCCUGAUUCCACACUGCCAAGAAAAGCCUCUAGCGAGGUGAGAGGUGCCCGUACCGCAAACCGACACAGGUAGGCGAGGAGAGAAUCCUAAGGUGAUCGAGAGAACUCUCGUUAAGGAACUCGGCAAAAUGACCCCGUAACUUCGGGAGAAGGGGUGCUCUGUUAGGGUGCAAGCCCGAGAGAGCCGCAGUGAAUAGGCCCAGGCGACUGUUUAGCAAAAACACAGGUCUCUGCGAAGCCGUAAGGCGAAGUAUAGGGGCUGACGCCUGCCCGGUGCUGGAAGGUUAAGAGGAGCGCUUAGCGUAAGCGAAGGUGCGAAUUGAAGCCCCAGUAAACGGCGGCCGUAACUAUAACGGUCCUAAGGUAGCGAAAUUCCUUGUCGGGUAAGUUCCGACCCGCACGAAAGGCGCAACGAUCUGGGCACUGUCUCAACGAGAGACUCGGUGAAAUUAUAGUACCUGUGAAGAUGCAGGUUACCCGCGACAGGACGGAAAGACCCCGUGGAGCUUUACUGCAGCCUGAUAUUGAAUGUUGGUACAGCUUGUACAGGAUAGGUAGGAGCCUUGGAAACCGGAGCGCCAGCUUCGGUGGAGGCAUCGGUGGGAUACUACCCUGGCUGUAUUGACCUUCUAACCCGCCGCCCUUAUCGGGCGGGGAGACAGUGUCAGGUGGGCAGUUUGACUGGGGCGGUCGCCUCCUAAAAGGUAACGGAGGCGCCCAAAGGUUCCCUCAGAAUGGUUGGAAAUCAUUCGCAGAGUGUAAAGGCACAAGGGAGCUUGACUGCGAGACCUACAAGUCGAGCAGGGACGAAAGUCGGGCUUAGUGAUCCGGUGGUUCCGCAUGGAAGGGCCAUCGCUCAACGGAUAAAAGCUACCCCGGGGAUAACAGGCUUAUCUCCCCCAAGAGUCCACAUCGACGGGGAGGUUUGGCACCUCGAUGUCGGCUCAUCGCAUCCUGGGGCUGUAGUCGGUCCCAAGGGUUGGGCUGUUCGCCCAUUAAAGCGGUACGCGAGCUGGGUUCAGAACGUCGUGAGACAGUUCGGUCCCUAUCCGUCGCGGGCGCAGGAAAUUUGAGAGGAGCUGUCCUUAGUACGAGAGGACCGGGAUGGACGCACCGCUGGUGUACCAGUUGUUCUGCCAAGGGCAUCGCUGGGUAGCUAUGUGCGGACGGGAUAAGUGCUGAAAGCAUCUAAGCAUGAAGCCCCCCUCAAGAUGAGAUUUCCCAUUCCGCAAGGAAGUAAGAUCCCUGAAAGAUGAUCAGGUUGAUAGGUCUGAGGUGGAAGUGUGGCGACACAUGGAGCUGACAGAUACUAAUCGAUCGAGGACUUAACCAA